rnacentral:rRNA from 1 species
GAUGAACGCUGGCGGCGUGCCUAAUACAUGCAAGUCGAGCGAACAGACGAGGAGCUUGCUCCUCUGACGUUAGCGGCGGACGGGUGAGUAACACGUGGAUAACCUACCUAUAAGACUGGGAUAACUUCGGGAAACCGGAGCUAAUACCGGAUAAUAUAUUGAACCGCAUGGUUCAAUAGUGAAAGACGGUUUUGCUGUCACUUAUAGAUGGAUCCGCGCCGCAUUAGCUAGUUGGUAAGGUAACGGCUUACCAAGGCAACGAUGCGUAGCCGACCUGAGAGGGUGAGCGGCUGCACUGGCACUGAGAAACGGUGCAGACUCCUACGAGAGGCAGCAGUAGGGAAUCUUCCGCAAUGGGCGAAAGCCUGACGGAGCAACGCCGAGUGAGUGAUGAAGGUAUUCGGAUCGUAAAACUCUGUUAUUAGGGAAGAACAAAUGUGUAAGUAACUAUGCACGUCUUGACGGUACCUAAUCAGAAAGCCACGGCUAACUACGUG